rnacentral:lncRNA from 1 species
UUUACUCUCCUUGAAAUAACAAAAAAAGACCUAGCCUCCCCUACCCCAACAUUACAUAUUUAUACCUCUCUCUCUCUUCCCUCCUGGCGGGCCCCACCUACACGAUCCUCUCCCAUUAUUCUCUCAUAAUUGGUUGCUAAGGAAUUUCCCUUUCUACCCUUCCUUUUAUAGGUAUAGAUAAUAGGAGGUCUUACAAAGUAAUACCUGGCCUGACUUUCUUUAAUCUUUCUGCGAGAACCUUUCCAAACAACUUAUAAAUUAAUGUUGAAACAACUUAUAAGCCACACUGUAAUGACCUUCCUUCUCUUGACCGAACUUCAAUAAUCGACAACUUAUAUUUAUCCAUAGUGCCUUUAUAAUACAACUGGCAAUCUCUUCUCUUUUGGUCUCCGAAUCAAUGCUCUAUCUGGAUUAGCUUUCUUCAAAAGAUUUUUAAUAGCCAAUUGUUUCGAAUGGCCCAUGAAUCCUCUAGUGUUCCAUGAUAUAAUCUCCAUCUUUGCUACCUCUGCCCUUAUAUCAAUUCAAUUUCACAUGCUGCCAAGAAAGGAACCAACUCUUGAGGGGGAAGGAUACUUGCUGACCUGCACAAAAUUUCUUUUUAUGGGGAGGAAAACAAUUUAAUAAAAUCUGGACCGAGAGAGUCACUGUCCUCUUGUUUCUCUGUCUCUGAUUGAAUUAUUUCUUCCUCAACUGGUUCAAAUUCUGCACUACUUACACUGGUGACUGAUUCAACUUCCUUGAAUUCAUCUUCUAGGUUCUCAACUUUUUUUAGAUAAGAAGUAUCUUGCACAAAAUUAAAGAAUGAACCAGAAAGUUUGGAGGAGGAUUGAGAAAAUUUAUUACUUAAGGAGGAAGGCAGUACUGACCUUUUGCCAACUGAAUUUUGAAUUUGUAUCUUCACACAACUUUCCUCUAAUAAAUCAGAAUUAGUUAAGCUCAUCCAAAUGUUGCGAAAAGUUCUCCCUUUGGUAUAGGUCUUGAGGUGCUUAGAAAAAUUUAUGGCAUGAAAUGGAAUAGCUUUCAUUGUAGAGGAUAUUUUAGUCUUGGGAGAGGCUGGUAAUUUUGGUUGAGAACUGAAAACAGGAGAUGGCCCGCAAGUGAAGUUCCUUGAUGGAGGAGAGGACUCUGAUUCUUCCUCCAAUUCGUCAGAAUACCAAAAGCCAUUGGAAUUCUGUUUAAUAGAAUUCUUGGGGCCUACCAUCUGUGUGUCAGCUUUAAAAAUGUCUGCAAAUACAUUAAGUUUGAAAAAAUUUGGUUGGGGAGGGCUAGGUGAGCUGUUUUUUGAGAUAAUAAAAUGCCGACUGGCUGCCUUUUCUUCUUUCGAGGUCUGUUUUUCUCUCUUUUCUGUUGAAGUCUUUUCCCCUUCUAAGUACAUGGAGAUGCCAGCUAUACCCAAAUUUGAAUUUUGCCUUCUGAAAAUUAUUUUUUUCGGCGAGGAUUCAAGGGCUGAAACUCUUUCCGGUCGAACAAGGUUUUCUUCUUCAUCACCCAACUUCCUAAGUGCUUCGAAAGGAUUUCUUGAGAUGGAUAAGCCAUUCUGUUUGAGAAAAUUAAGGUAUCUGGGAGACCAUCACUUUGGAGCCCUUCAUCUAAAAUCACUGAAUUUAUUCUACAUAAAUCAAUAGGAUUGGAAAAAUCACUUUGAAAUAGAUCAUAUUGGAUUAUUACAGGAGCUUCUAAGGGUUCAAAAUCCCCAAAAUUAAGGGAAAAAUUUCCUCAGUUCUCACUCUUUAAUUCUAUAGUUGCUGGUAAGAAUCCGCAAAGAUUUUUCCGAACUUUAAUUCUUGCUUCAGAGAACUUGAUCAGAUUGAGUGUUUCUAAGAUUAUACUUUCUAGUCCACCAAAGUAGCUUAAGCUUAAGGCUAUAAUUGAAUUUUCUUUCAACCAUCAGCUUAAAAUUUUUGGUGAAUCGGUGGUUUAAUAUUUAUAUUAAUAUUUUAUAAAAAAGUAUACAGCUAAUGCCAUAUAAAAUAAAUAAAGAAAUACUAUAAAAUCUACAUCCAUAAAAUAUGCAUGUGAACACAUAUCAGAAGAUGGAUAUUCGUAAGUUAGAAAGACCGAUAACAAAAUGUCAUAAUUAAACAACAACAUUAAUAUUAUAGGUAGUUUCAAGCUUCAUUUGUCUAUUCUAGGUAGGGAUAUUGAAUAACUCUUAAAAAUAAUAUAAAGAUUGAAUCCCUAAACUUCAUGUUAAAGACCUAAUAACAGUUAAAGAAACUGAUUAAUCAUUUUUGGCAGGAUGUCAGAUUCGCCUUUCGAAAUCCUACAUGAGUAGAGCCAGCCAAAUAAGCCAAGCAAGAUAUGCCUCUUAAGGAAUAUGGAGAAGUUCAAUGACUGGGUAUGUAUAUGAUAAGCCUUAACCUCAAUUUUAUUUAUCAAUAAUGGAGGGAAGGAAUCAGAAGCUUCUCUAGCUCUCCCAAUUAUUCUAAGAAACCUGAUACAAGCUAUGCCAAAACAUACCCUCCCCAAACAAUCAUAAUAGUAUUUAUAUGAAAGCAUAAAAGACUCAUGGCCCCCUUAACUAGCAGCAUUCAGACCAACAAAACAGCUUCCCAUCCUCCUCUCCUGAAUCCUUUCUUGUGCCUACGGGUGUACACCUUCACUACCAUGGGCCUAUCAGUAUGUAGAGAUCGUAGAGGCUGUAUGAGCCAAGGAGCUGGAAGAGUAGGAUUAGGGAAGUGUGGAGUUUUCCGCUCUUUGUUUGGCCAAAAGUGUUUGUGGACUCCCGACAAGAAAAUUUCAAUUUUAUGCCUUAUUGACUUCGUAUGUCCUAGGCCCUAAGAGUUCAAAACUUUCUAGAUUUCACAACUUCUUGGACCACUCCUUGUGCCAAACACCCCUUUAAAGAAUACUAAGCCAAGGAUAUAAAACUUCAAUACUAUCAAUAGAAAAUCUCAUAAAAGAAACAUGAAUGAUGAAUAUUUUAGAAGACUAUAAAUUGGUACCGUACCUUCAUGAGCUGAGUUUUCUUAGUUUCGUCUGCAAUGUUCAUCAGCAUAAUUUUAAAUGGUUUUCCUAAUGUGUUCUCUUCAGAAUUGAGGUCCUCUGAUGCCACAUUUACACUUCCAAAUUCUUGACAGAAAUUUUGUGUACACUGAUUGGUUGGAUUUUUAGGAUAAAUACUUGAUAAAAUCUCAUGCUUUGAAUUGGCUAAAGAGCAUCCUUGAGAGCAGGUAUCGUAUACAUCACUUUCAGGAUCAAGAUUUUUGUUAGAGUGAGAAUGAAAAUGGUCCAGAUUGACUCCUUUUACUUUCUUUGACUUCAAGGAAGAAAGUGAUGCUUCCCAAACUCUCUUUGCGCUAUGUUUAGAGCAAGAACAAUGUGUCUCAUCCAAAUUACCAAGAGUAUUGGAUAAUUCUACAAUACUAGCUGUCGUGUUGUUCUCUAUUUCUGCAAAAGAAACCGACCGUUGCUAUCAUGCACUGCAUCCUGGUUUAAAUAAACAAAGUUAUGAGAUAAUUAAGCAACAUAUGGAGAAUAAUUUAAAUUGUACUAUCUUGUGGAACAAAACCUGAAUUACAUAUACCCUGAAUUUCAUUUUCUUCUCCAAGGGGCACUAAAGUUACAAACUCGUCAUGUUGAAAAUUCAAAUUUUGAAUGGUAUGCUGAUCAGUUGAAUUUGAAACGUUGCAACCUCGAUUGGCAACACUGAUUCUUGCAGCAUACGGGGCUUCAGGCUUUAGUAGAGAAAGUAACUUUGGAAAGUCAGUCGAACACAUUGAAAUUCCCUGAAUGUGCGAAAUCCAUGGAUUUUAUUACACAUCCCAAAGGUUAUAAUCAAUUGGUUCUCGAAGUACGCCACCUUCAUCCCCAUACAAAACUAUGUUCUGUCGAGCUGAUAGCACACUUGUUCUUUAAGAAUGUCUUGAAGUGAUGGGGAGUUCCAUCAAGCAUUGUGAGUGACAGGGAUGGUAGAUUCAUUGGUACUCUCCGGACCGAACUAUUCGCCUUCUUGGGGACACGCCUAAAUAUAUCCUUAAGCUGCCAUCCUCAGACGAAUGGCCAAACUGAAGGAUUCAAUUGUAUGCUUAAGGAAUAUCUACGACAUUUUGUUGAUUUUGGACAAAAGAAUUGGGCCUAGUUGAUGGAUGUGGCUCAAUUUUGUUUUAAUGCACAAACUAGUCUAUCCACAAGAACGAAGUCCUUUCGAAAUCUUGAGUGGAAGACAACCUAUACUGCCUCAUAUUGUUGAUCAUCCUUAUGCAGGAAAAAAUCCUCAAGCUCAUAACUUUACGAAAAAGUGGGAGAAGACUACGAACAUCACUCGAGCAUACUAAGAGAAAGUCUCGAAGCGUAUGAUAAGAAGCAUCAUCCUCUCAAGUUUUGAGCUGAAGACCAACUCUUCAUAGAGUUUAAAGCAAAGAAAAUUUGAUUUAGAGGACAUCAACAUCAGCAUCUCACUAGAAAAUACGAAGGGCCUGUUGAAGUUCUGAAGAAAAUUGGAAAUGCAUCCUAUGGGGUAUCGUUGCCUGCAUGGAUAAAAAAUCAUCUAGUAGCUCAUGUGAGCAACUUGAAACCUUACCAUCAAUAUCCAGAUGACCAGUAGUGCAACAAUGGUGUAUGGUCAUCUAGUGACCUAAAGCAGAAAGACGAUAAAGAAAUGGAAGAAAUCCUUCCGAGUGAGAGUGAGGAAGGUAUACCCAUGAAGAGGAUACAUGAAUUCCUACUGAAGUGAAAGAACCUCCAUGUGGAAGAAACACGUUAGGAAUGUGCUGAAGACCUUGAAGCGUGAAAUAAGAAGAUCGAGGAAUUCUAGCUUCGCCAGUCGACAGGGACGUCAAUUGUUUAAGUGGGGGAAUGUAACAAGCAUGCUUGUCCAGGGCGCUGUUUGCUUAUGGCCGCAUGCCCAAACACCCCCAAUUUACAUUGUUUUAAUGUUUUGUAUUUAGUUUUACUUUUUGCUUUCCUUUUUAUUUCAUAAACCUUGGGUGUGACUUGGCUUUUUCUUAUGCAAGCCUACCAGAACUAAAAAAGUCUAAAAUGUACUAUAGAUGGGACAUAGUAGUUGAGUCCCUGCCCAAGCCUUGUUGCACUCUUCGCAAUCAAAGUUUUUCUUUGCAAUUGACAGUCUUCAAUGCUUGCUUUAACGAUAUUUUCAUUGAAUUUCUUUCUCCUCACGUUUUAUAAAACAUUUUCUCAAGAACGUGAAGAGAGGCUACAUCGUAUCAUGUGUUUGUCCGUGUUUUUGGAUUUUGAUCAGCUAACUUGUUGUCUACGUAAAACAAGUGCAACAUAAUCGCUCCUCUCGUGUUUGAAAGCUCGCGAUUGUGACACAAGAAAUGCACUAGCCAAGAAUGCACACGAGGAGGGCUACACAAAAUGCCAAGCACGCAACCAAGUGAGGUUCACAAUGUGCUUGUGUGUGAGGUUAGCACGCAGGCAUGCCCAACGCGUGUGAAAAGCCUCUUGUGAGAUUCACACACAGUAGCCAGCGCCCACCAAGGCCCUGCCGCCCACCCAUUCGUGCCAGGCAAUGUCAUAUUGCGUGUUGAGCUAUUUUUGGUAAUUUUUUGAGUUUUUUAAGUAUACUUUUGAUAUUUUCUUGGCAAAAGAUAAUUAAUUGUACUAUUUUACCAUUAUUUCAGGACAUGAGAAGAUCGUACAAAUUUAUAAACCAAGGAUUUGAGCUUGUAUCUGUGAGUGGAAAAUGUUUUAUUUAAAGUGAUUUCAAGCAUGUUCUUAAGUCAUGAUUUAUGACGGAUUUAUGAUAAAAUGUUUAAGUUAUGUUAUAAAAAGUCUUUCAAGCGUGUUAUUGUUUAAAGGUAUUUAUUCAAGCAUAUUGUUUACUCUUCAAAAUGCAUAAUAUUCAAAAUGUUUUCCCACUUUCUAGGUAGAGAUCGUGUCCUCUAAGCCUAACUUGCUGCUACCUGUCUACUAAAGGAUUUCAUUUUGUUAUUAUGUGCCCUGUUAUUUUGCACUAAUGAUAAAUUAGAGUCUUUUGUGCUAUCAGACUUAGGCUUUUGGAAGGUUUUAUAAGGUUUUGUUCUAGAUAAAUAAGAUUACGUUUUGUCUAUGUAAAACUUGUCUAAGGUUGUUAAAUGAAAAAGGUUUAGCCCAAUUGGUUUUAGUAAAAUUUAUGUGUUAUGUUUCCGCUGUUAUUUAGAGUUUAAAGGUUCAGGCUAAGGGUCAGAUGGUGUCGUUCUUGACGUGGGUGCUAUCGAUUGGCUUCACGCCAUAUCUCGAGCCACGCAAGUAGGUGCUCGUGGUGGGGUGUGAUAGCCUAAGUUGGCUUAUUAACGGUUAAAAUGUAAACAUGUCCAUAACAAAAUAGUCGGGCAAGGCCCAUGUGGACCGACUGGUAAAGGUUGAAGAUCAAAUGCUCUACCUAAUGAAAGUUCCUAACUCAAUUCGCUUCUUGGAAACCCGCCUUGAAGAAAUUUUUUAGAAAGCUGAUGCUAUUAAUUAAACCACCACCCAAAAUCUUAAGCUAGUGAUUAAAAGUAAAUUUAAUUAUAUAUCACUAACAAUCCCCCACUUAUGGGUUCGAAAUAUCUAAAAGGUCCAACAAGUGAAAAUCAAUUUUAAUUGGGAAGGAAACACCAAUACAGGGACUUGAACAUAGGACCUUUUGGACCACCUGCUCUAAUACCAUAUUAAACCCCAAAUUCACCCAAAAGCUUAAGCUAGUGAUUGAAGGUAAAUUUAAUUAUAUAUUACCAAAGUAUGAGGUUUCAUCACAAUACCAAUUGGCAAUGAGAGGAGUAGCUCAUCUAUUUUAUAAGGAGUCUAAGUUUCCUUGGUUUUUCAAUUGUGGGAACAUGCCCCUUCAAGAUGGUGCCUCUUUGGUUUCACCUAUCUUGAACCAAAUAUCCGUUUAGGCUUAAUGAGCUCUAAUACCAUAUUGAAAGCAAUAUAUACGAAACCAAAGCUUACGUGAAAACGCAAGAAUCGAAAGAAAAGCAUUGUGUUUGUAGUUUUAUUAUUUUUAUGAUAAUUACAGAGGUACAGUUGGUGGUUUAAUAUAUAUCACUAACACUAUUGCUGCAAUGAUCGAUCAUCUCGAUGGAUUACCCAUUUAAGAGUUGUUGACAAGAGUUGACACUCUAGAAUCAAAAGUUGUAAGAACUAGAUGUUGUAAUUUAUGUCCUAAAACUCGUUGUAAUCAUAAUCUAUUCAAUAAAGUCGUUAUUGAUACUAUAAUCUUAAACCUGUCAUUUGCAAACCUGUCAAAGCUCAAAAAGUCUAAACUGUACUAUAGGAGAGACCCAAUAGUUGAAUCCCCAACCAUGUCUUAUCGUAUUCUUUAUAAUCAAAUUUUUAUUUGCAAUUGAAAGUCUUCAACGCUUUCUUUAAUGAUGUUUUUAAUGAUAUUCUCUCUCACAUUUUAUAAAACAAUUUUUUCAAGAACGGGAAGGGAGGUUAUAUCAUAUCGUGAGUUUGUUCGUGAUUUUCGAAUUUUACAUGACUGACUUAUUGACUGAGCAAAACAAGUGUUCUUCAAUUGUCCAUUCCAUGUUUGAAAGAUUUCGAUUGUGGCACGCAGAGUGUCACAAGUGGGCUUGUCCAAGGCAUUAUUUGCCUAUGGCCGCAUGCUCGAAUAUCCUCAAACCACUUUAUCUUUAUGCUUUGUACUUAGUUUAGUCAACUGCUUUCCUUUUGUUGUCACCGACCUAAGGUGCGUCGUUUCGCAAUUUUCAUAUGCAAGGUUGUCAAAGCUAAAAAAGUUUAAGAUGUAUUGUAGGGGAGGCAUGGUAGUUGAAUCCCCAACUAAGGCCUAUUGUGAUUUUUGCAAAUCUAAGCUUUCUUUGCAAUUGACAAUAUUCAAUUUUUUCUUUAAGGAUGUUAUCAAUGUUUUUCUUUAUCUCUCACGUUUUAUAAAACCAAUUUCACAAGUUUGUCCGCAACUUUCAAAUUUCACAAGGUUGCCUUGUUCAUCAAUUUAGAACAAGUGUUGCACAAUCGCCCGUCCCGUAUUUGAAAAGUUGCAUUUUGUGACAAGUGGUAUUAAAGCUUUGUUAGCUCCUUGGCUAAGCGAGAUGCAAUUAUGUCGACAAUGAAACAACUAUCAAAGUUGCAAUCUAAGCGACUGACUGAGAUUGAAGAGGAAUUCUUGGAUAUGAAAGAAUUGCCAAAAGAAGUAAGAUUUCUCCAGACCCGGCUUGAGAUGUUUAAAGAAAAAGUCAGAGAAAUAGACGCAUUGAAUGCCUAAAUAGACAAACUACCCAUAAAUGAAUUGGCGCUGAGGGUUGAUUCGUUAGAACAUAAAACCACCAAAGUAGGUAGUUUUGAACGUGGAAGUAGCUCUUCAAGUUCUAUCGCACAAAUGGAAGAGCGUGUCGAAGAGUUUGGCUUUUGACAAAAUCCAACAUAAUCAGUUAUAUUUCAAGAAAGAGAAAAGUGUUUUUGCUAAAUAGCAUAAAUUUUCUGGGUCACAUCAUCGAAUGUAGAAAGAUUUGAAUGGACGAACAUAAGUUGUGAGCUAUUAAGGAGUGGAGAGCCCCCACUUCCGUGAAAGAGUUACGUUUCAUCCUUCAAUAUAUUCUAAAAUAGGGUUCACCUACUAUCCUCUAGACUCAGUACCGGGAGAAAGAAAUAGAUGGAAAAAGAAAUGGGCUUGGUAAUUUUUUUUUCUAUGUAAAUAAGAAAAAGAAAUCCAAUUUGGUACAAAGCCCAAAUUCAAUAGCCAGCCCAUCAAAUGAGGUCAACGACCCUAUUUAUAAGGAUUUUCCAUACAAAAUUGCAUCCAUGGAAUACUAAAGCCCAACAACUCAAAGAUCUAUUUCUAAUAUGAAAUUCGAUGGCUAUAACACAUAUACUUGUCAGUUUCUCUCUCUUCUCCCAAUUCGAACAAUUCGACUUAUUCCAUCACACUGUUUUAAGUUUAUUCCAUAUGAGCUAGCAAGGGAACCUAAUGGACCUAUAUAUCAUGGACUCCAAUGAUUCAAGAUUAAUUGACUAAAUUCUUAUAGACUGAGUUAAUCAACAUUCGUUAACUAACGGGUCAUUCAUGAAUGUACUGGAACGAUUCAGAAUCACCUCAUUUGUACUAACUACAAAGCGGACGGACAUCCACAGUUUCUCUGAAAAAAUCUGGGUUACUACAACAUCACCACGAUGUACAAUUUUCCUGAUAAGAUGGUACUUACGUUCGAUAUGUUUUCCCCGUUUACGACUUUUAUGUUCUCUUGAAUUUGCAACUGCACCUUUUGUGACAGUAUAAAGUGAUUGAUAGAUGCAUAUUUGGAACGCUUCCAGAUCUGUCAAGAAUUUUCUUAGCCAUAAUGCUUCUGCUGUUACUUCAAAAGUUGCUACGUAUUCUACCUCCAUUGUGGAAUCAACUACAAGUUUGUUUUAUGCUUCUCCAAACUACUACUCUUCUAUUUAGAGUGAAUACUAAUCCUGAUGUAGACUUUCUAGCAUCUUUAUCAGUUUGAAAAUCAUAAUGAGUGUAUCCAGUAAGGAUCAAAUCUUUUUGUACCAUACACGAGAAUUUAGUGUUUUGUUCUUCAAAAAUAUUUAGAAGAUUCUUAACGGUUGUCCAAUGAUCACGUCCAAGAUGGACUGAUACCUACUGACCAUCCCUACUAAGUAGCAUAUGUCAAAUCUAGUACACAACAUUGCAUAUAUCAAACUUCCAACAGCGGAAGCAUAGGAAAAUUUUUCUCAUAUCCUCAAUUCUUGAGGUGUCUUAGGAAUUGUUCCUUUGACAAAUGAAUUUCGUAGAUGUAUAAUAGCAUACCCUUUUUGGAAUUCUACAUUUUAUAUCUAGACAACAUUUUGUCUAUAUAAGAUGCUUGAGACAUGGCUAGUGUUUUUGUUCUUGCAGUUCUGUACAAUUUGGAUCUUAAGAACGUAUUGUGCAUUUCCAGAACUUUCAUUUGAAAUUGCAUAGCUAGCCAUUUCUUAAUAUUAGUAUGAAAUCCUAUGUCCUUUUCCAAUAAGUAGAAUAUCAUCUACAUACAAGACUAAGAAUACUACAAUGGAAUUGAUGACCUUUUUUUGUAAACAUAAGGUUCGUCAACCUUUUGUAUCAAAGCCAUAAGAUUUGAUCAUUAGUAUCAAAUCUAUAUUCCAGGAUCUAGAUUUUGUUUUAAUCCAUAAAUGGAUUUUUGAAUCUUACAAACCUUUCGUUCUUGAUCUUGAUCUAUAAAACCCUCUAAUUGAUAAUAUAGAUACUCUCUUCAAGAUUGUCAUUCAAAAAAAGUUGUCUUGACAUCCAUCUGCCAAUUUCAUAAUCAUAAAACGUGGCGAUGCAUAAGACUAUUCUAAUUGACUUUAGCAUGGCAACGAUAGAGAAAGUUUCUUCAUAGUCUAUGUUAGAAAGAGACAUGCACAGUAGAAAAAUGGAAUACAAAUUACCCUAAUUGCACCUAUUUAACUUGCAACCCUAAAUUAAAAGAAUUAGGUUUAGAAAUAUUAUACCUUUGUAUCUAUUCGAAUAUGAACGUCUAUACCUCUCACAAAAUUCCAAAAGUUUUUGAAACCAAAAUGUAACACAUUAAACUUAGGAUUGGAAUUCGUAUCUUCCAGCAUUCUCUGCAUCCCCUGCGACCUGGCAGCAUCAUCCUUACUAUUCUUAAAAACUUAUUAGAAUGAAAUUCCUCUUCACAAACUAACACGAAAUCUUUCAGCAUGCUUUCCUCACUCACAUGCAUUCUAGGAAAAUUUCCAAGAGGUCACCCAACAUAGAAUUUCUUCAAGCUAAGCACGCUUAACUCUGAAGUCCCUAUAAUCGAGCCACCGAAGAAAAAAAAGGUUCACAUUGUUGGUAUAGGUAUUAAGUUUUAAUUCUUUUCAGUCUUUCUUAACAUGACUUUCAUGUCCUCAAGGUGCACCUUGUCGGUCUUACUGUCGAUUUUCUCUUUUUCUCUCAAUUCAAACAAUUCGACUUAUUCCAUCACAAUGUUCUAAGUUUAUUCAUAUGAACUAGCAGGGAAACCUAAUGGACUAUUAUCAUGAGCUCCAACGAUUCAAGAUUAACUGGUUAAACUCUUUUUAGACCGAGUUAAUCAACAUUCGUAAACUAACGGGUCAUUCCACUAAAGUCUCGCAGUUGCACUCCCCUCACUAUAGAUAUAUUCUUGUCCAUUUAAUAUAACCAUGAUCAAUAAGUUAAUCCUUCACAUGUUAUUCGUAACCUCGAAUGAUGAAAUUACUGUUUUAUCCUUGAGACUAUCUUAUUUCUUAAGUCUCAUUGAUCCACUAUUGAACAAUUGGUUUAAGGUCCUAUAACUUAAUCCUCUCGGGCUAAUGUGAGGGUGGGCCCCUUGUUCAAGACUUGGAUUCAGUGCUUAAGAGAACAACCUAUCUACUAACCCUAAAACAAGUAGAAAUGAAUUUUGUCUUGCAUCCUAUGUUCCCAGCCAUUCAUCUGAUCUUACCCUUGAAAUAGGAGGCUUAUUGGGAGAACGUUGAUGAGAUACCCUCACCUAUGCAGAUGUAACCCUAAAACAAGUAGAACUGAAUUCAGUCUUAUGUAAGUACUUUACAGUGCUUAAGAGAACAACCUAUCUACUAACCUAAACAGUAGAAGUGAAUUCGUCUUGAUCCUAUGUUCCCGCAUUCAUCCGAUCUUACCUUGAAAUGAGAGGCUUAUUGGGAGAACGUUGAUGAGAUACCCUCACCUAUGCAAAUGUAAGGAUAAUCUCAUGUGAACAGGAGUUCAUAGUUAGCUUAGGAUUAAGAUUAAGCUACCUAAGUCAUCAAUAAACGAAAUAGUCAGUUCUAAACAGUAAACGUGUUAUAACGUAAAAGUGACUAUUUCAUGGAUCAGUCUUAUGUAAGUACUUUACAUAGGAUGCCCCCACUUUCAUGUCUCUACAUGAACAAUUUAGGAUCACCUCGUUUGUACUAAUUACAAAGCGGGUCACAUCCGUAGUUUUUCUAAAUAAGGCACUAUAGACUAUUUAGGCUAUACACUCGAACUUGAUCCACGUUUAUGUCUCGACAUAAAGUUCAAAUGUAUUAAAAAAUAGCAUUAAGACUUAGUUUAUUGGAUUUAAGAUUAUAAUUUUAAAUUUUUCAAUAACGAUUUUAUUGAACUGAAUAUGAUAACAAAUACGAGUUUUAGGACAUAAAAUCCCAACAUAUGUAUUUUUGCCUCUAAUAAUAAUGUUGAAAGAUGUUUGUUGUCAUUUCAUAUGGUGAUAUCUCUUCUGGUUGGACAUAGUCAGGUUUUGUAAUGGGUGACUUUAAAGCUAUCAAAAUGCUUUUGAGGCUUUUGAUAGGUCUUCUGUUCCUAUGGAUAUGGAGGAGUUCGAUAUGGCUAUUUGCGAGGCUUAUUUAGUUGAACCUACAGUACAGGGUAACUGGUUCACCUAGACUAGAAAGGUUCAUGGUCUGGUUUGAUAAAACGAUUUAAUCGUAUUCCGGUUAAUGGUGUUGGAUUACUGCAUGCCCUUCGGGUAUUUCUGAUCACUCCCCUUUUAUUUUAUCCCAACUUUUAGCAGAGACAGUGGUAGUUUCUUUUUGUUUCUUCAACCAUUGGUUGAGGAUUCUUUGUUUAUUGAUUGUCUCUUCGAUUUGGAGUCACCAUGUAGGAGUUUCUCUGAUUGUGAGUUUCGUGAGAAAUUUACAUAACCUCAGAGAAAGGUUGGGCAAAAUCCUAUGUCUGAUGUUUUGAGUCGCCAAGCAGGUCUUGCCAUUGAGGCCUUUUGGACGGCUGUUAGAUUGGAGGAAGCCUUCAUGUGUUAGAAGUCCAAGAGGUUUGUGAUUUGCCUUAGAACUUGUGUUACCUCCUCGAUGUUCUCCAUUAUGAUUAAUGGCUCUUUCAAGGGUUUUUUAAUGGGAGGAAAGGUUUGCGGUAGGGUGAUCCUUUAUCUCCUUUCCUUUUUAUCAUGGUGAUGGAGGUCCUCUCUCGUAUGUUCAAUCGGCCUCCUCCGAGCUAUCAGUUUCACAGGCAUUGUGAGAAGGUUAGCUUAACUCAUCUGACCUUUGCUAAUGAUCUUAUGAUUUUUUGUACUGCUGAUGAUUCCUCUCUGAGUUUUAUUAACGAGACUAUUCGAAAGUUUGGUGAUCUCUCGGGCUAUUUACUAAUCUUAGUAAAAUUUCUAUGUUUGUUGUAGGGGUUAAUAGUGAUGAUGUUUAUCGUUUGACUACCAGUUUGGGUUUUGUCCUCAGGCAUCUCCCUGUUCGUUAUCUUGGGCUUCCUUUACUUUCUGGAGGUUACGACCUACUGAUUGUGCUCUCUUAUUCAACGUAUUACUAGUCAGAUUCAUUCUUGGUUUGCUAGAGUUUUAUCAUUUGCAGGUAGAUUGCAACUGGUUCGAUAUGUGCUUGAUAAUCUUCAGGUUUACUAGGCUAACGUGUUUGUGUUGCCUGUGAGUGUGCAUCAUGAGGUUGAUAAAAUCUUGAGGUCUUAUCUUUGGAGGGGUAAGGAGGAAGGUAGAGGAGGUGUUAAGGUGGCGUGGGCUGAGGUGUGUUCCUUUUAAGGAGGGUGGUCUUGCUAUUCUUGAUGGGCCUUCUUAGAAUGUUGUGAGUACUAUGAAGAAUCUUUGGUUGUUGCUGACUAGUUCGAGUUUUCUACGGGUUGCUUGGGUGGAGGCUUAUAUUCAUAAAGGAAGGUCAUUGUUCAAGGUCGAUUCUUGUGUUGGUCGGUCUUGGUGUCUUUGCGCUAUCAUGUGUAAACGAGAUAGUCUAAAAGAGCAUGUUCAGAUGGAGGUUGGGGAUGGUAGGCAUUGUAAACUGUGCCUGGAUCCGUGGUUGCAGGGUGGUCAUAUCCUUCAACAAGUUGGUGAGAGAGCGCUUUAUAAUGUAACGAGUAGAUAGGAGGCUAGGCUCUCUAAGUUUAUUGGUUCGAAAGGGGAGUGGAGGUGGUCGAGGGUAUCUUUGGAUUUGAUUAAUUUAUCGGAUAGGGUUCAAGUUGUAAGUUCGUGUCCUAAUGUUGGUGAUAGGUGGGUUUGGGUUCUUGGUCGUCAUAGUGGUUUUUGAUUGCUAGUGCAUGGGAUACUAUUCAUCCUCGUAGUGUUAAGGUUCGUUGGAUAGGUUUCUUGUGGGGUGGGGAUUGAGAGUCUCGUUAUCAUUUGUUUUUUCAUGUCCUUUUGGGUGUGAUAUUUAGUCUCGGGUCCUUUAGGUUAUGGCUUCCUCUCACAGGAUUGGGUAUUGGGGGUUGAGUUGUUUGGGGUUUGUCAUUAGAGUAUUGGUAAGGGUGUGAGAAGGAAGUUGUGGUAUGUUCUCUGGUGUGCUACGAUUUAUUUUAUGUGAAAGGAGCAUAAUCAUUGUCUCCAUGGUGGUCAAGCUCGUGAGCUCAUUGUUCUGUUUCAGCUUAUUCCAUAUUGUAUCAGUGCUCGUGUUGUUUAUUUGCGUGAGGAUGCUCAUGGUAUUAUUUAACUUGUUUUCUUUUGAUUUUUGUUUUAUCUGCUUGUUCUCGGGCUGUGGGGUUGUUUGGACUUUUUAUGUUUUUGUUGCUCUUAAUUUUGUUGGGUUUAUUAUUGUUCUUUCUUUUGAUACUUUGGAUUCUUCCUGUUUUUGUGAGCAUUGUCCGCUCUUGUGAGGUCAUCCUUGUUGUAUUAUGAUAUUAACUUUUCAAAAAAAAAAAAAGAUAAUGCAAUUCAACUUUAGAUAGAAACAUGAUUCGAAUUUUCAUUUCAAGAAAAUACAAGGGGACAGAACUCAAGGAUUAUGUGGAUCACAAAACUUGAAUUACUAGAAUCUAAAUUUCCAUAUGUUAGAUAUCAUUAGAAGCAGUUAGACCAAAAGUUAAUUAUCAAUAUGUUAGUUCACAGGAACUGCAUAAUCAAGCACAUAAACAUCCACAUUGUCAUUCAUUGUAGGCAGCUUUGAUACACAAAAAAUAUGGAUAUUUUCAGAAGUUCAAGCAUACACAAAAAACAUAUCCUUGUCAGAAAAUAGCCAACUAAGAAAGAGAAGUUCAAGAUUUAUAUACAAAGUGCAGCUGCAAAAGGACAAGCAAGAUGCCAGAAUCUAUAUAUUAUGCAGUCGGAUAUUAAUUGGCAAGUACUAACAGCAAAGGUACCAAAAUAAAACUGUAUCAAUUUAUCUUGUCUAAAACUAAACAGUAUAUGUAAAUCUUGCAAACAAACAAGUUUUUUGAAUCAAAACUGUCAAAAGAUUUUGAUUCAAGUGAUAUGUGGAUUGUGAUCUUUUGUGUCACCCAUCCAUUCCUCCUGUUUUAACCAUUUAAAUCAAUAAAUAAUUUUAUGUUCAAACAUAAGUUGGACAACCUUUGUUAAAGAACUGCUUCCCACAACAAAUAGCAUUAACCACCCUUUUUUAAUUCAACAGAUGGGAAUAGAGAUCGAAUCUCUGAUUUUUUGGUCUAAGGUACCUUUCCUAAACUUGUCGAAUUCCAUUUUCUACACCAACUUUAGAACGAGUAUAUAUACAUCAAGUAAUUUCAUGUUCAACUCAAAAUUGGACAACCAUAGUAUUACUCCAAAGCAAACAAUACUAAUUGUUCCAUUAAAUGUUUUUUUAUAGCUCUUGAUUGUCUCACUUUUUUGUAUUUUGAAUUUACAAGCCUCUUUUUUCUUUCUUUGGUAUGAAAGGUGGCAACUAGGCCUUGCUAGAACGAGUGGGGUAACCUUUCUAUGGUUCUACACUUAGUUUCGAAGUUCGAAGUUUUCCUCCUACAGUGGAUCAUCGCUAUUGAUUCUUCUACUGUUAAUUCGACCUCCCACGAAUUCUCUUCUUCUAAGGAUUCACUUUUCUCUAAGGCUAUGCACUCUACUAAAAAGCCUUGAUCUUCUUCCCCCCAAUGUUUUCAUAAACUUCUUAAGACAGACCCUGACCUUGGUUAGGCUCGGAUCUCCUUGGAUUAUCACCUUCUUCCCCUGAUAUGUAAAUGUUAACAUCAUAUUCUUCCAAUCCACUCCAGUCGUUCCCAAGGAAUACAAUCACUGCAUUCCAAGUAUGGCAACUACCCCUCCCAACUUCAAGGGUAAAAACUCAUUCACUACCUUCUAGUCUCCCAGCAUUAACUCAACAUCUUCACAAAUUACCUUCCCUUUGACUACAGUGCCCGAGCCCAAAAUAACUCCAUAAUUCGACGUUUCUCUUAUACUCAGUUGCAACUCUUUCACUAUUUUUUUCUGAAAUGAAAUUGCGUGUGACUCCACAAUCAAUUAGUACUAUAGGCACCUUCCCUUGUAUCAUCUCUUUUACCUUCAUUUUCCCUAGGUUGGAUAAUCCCACCACAUAAUUAAUGGAUAAUUCCACCAUCACUUGACUCUCCUCUACGAUCUCAGGGGCAUUCAAUUCUUUCUGAUCAAUUCCUCCUUCUUCAAUAAUUUCAUACUCCUCGCCUUCUUCCUUCACAACAAUCAUUCGCAAUUCCCUUUGCUCUUUCAUCUUGCAUUUGUGGUCAUGAGAAUAUUUCUCAUUACAGCGAAAGAACAAUCCCUUCUUUCUAGAUUGAAAUUCAGCAUCAAAUAAGUGCUUCGUCUGUCCCUCUUUCCGUACUUCCUCUUUUGUUGUUCCUCGUAGAGUAAUAGUUCUCAUCGGCCAAUUCAUUCCUCCUUUACUUUCUUCUGUAUUCGCAAUGGUAUUAGGCUUGGUGCUAUUAUGGGAGUUUAUCACCUUUUCUCCAGAAUAUCUAGAAAGAUUUGCUUCCUGACAUAUAUCUUCCUUGUUCUCUACCUUUUGCGCGAUUCGUAUCAUUUGUUUUUUUCUUGUCAUUUUGGGUGGGAGAUUUGGUCGAGGAUCCUUUUGCUUAUGUCAUCUUCUCAUAGAAUCGGUUAUUGGGGGUUGAGUUAUCUUGGAUUUAUAAUCAGGGUAUUGGGAAGAGUGUGAGGAGAAAACUGUGGCGCCUUCUCUGGUGUGCUACAAUUUAUUUCAUUUGGCAGGAGCGAAAUCAUCGUCUUCAUGAAGGUGCUAUUUGGGAGCCUAUGGUUGUAUUCCAGCUCAUUUGGUCGUGUAUUAAAGCGCGUGCUGCUUCUUGGUCGGAUGGUGUUCAUGGUCUUAUUUAAUGUUCUUUUCGUUUGCUUGUCCCCGGGUUAUGGGGUUUCUCUUCUCUUUAUUAACUUUGUUGUCUUUCUCUCUUCUUCUUGUCCUUUUAAUGUUUGGAACACUAGUUGGUUUCUUUUGGUUUUAGUUCUUGUUCCCAAGAUGUGGGGUUGUUUUGGGUACUUAUGGGUUGUUUUGUCUAACUACUUGUUCUGUGAGUGUUGUUCACUCUUUUGUCUUGACCUCAGGAUGUGAGGUCCACCUUGUUGUUGUAUAAUAUUAUCAUUACCUUUUCAAAAAAAAAAUCAAACUCAAUGCUAAGUUUGACUGCUCCCUUCGAAGUGACAACAAGCCUCAUUUUCGCCCUACUGUGGAUCGAGGAGGAUUCCUCCUCUUUUCAAAGCCCUCAAUCAAACUUGACGUUAUGUUUAAAACACUAUGGUCUAGUUUUGGUUAGGCCAAAAGCGAUGUUUUCCCCCAAAAGCUCUAAUAGCUAGGGAACUCAACAUGUUCUACUUGACCUAACCAACUUGACUCUGUAUUUUUUAUGAGCUUUUUUUAAUGCAUAUUGCAUAUGUUUUUUUUAUAAUUGUUGAUUGUCUCACUUUUUUAUGGUCUGCAUUUACGAGCCUCUUUUCUUUCUUUGUUAUGAACUGCGGUAACUAGGCAUUGCUAGAACCGAUGGGGUAACAUUUCUAUGGUUCUACACUUAGUUUCUAAGUGUGAUUGCUCACCUCUAAUUUUCAAAACACUUAAUUUCUAAGCACAUACAAUGUUCACCUAGAAAAAAAUGAAAAUUGUUGUACUUAAGAUCAAAACUAAAUAGUUAUGAAAUAAGACAUAAGAGAUUUGAUUUUAACAACCUUCUUGUACUUGGGAUCCACUCUGGCUUUGUGCUGGAAAAUUGGUUUGGAGCUGAUCAUAAGCUUUCGGUUGCUCUUCUGUAACCUUUAGAUACUCUUCAAAGCUAUAAGCUUUGCUUCCUGACGAAGAAUCUUCUACUAUUACAAUACAUAAGAAAAUUCUAUUUCAUAAACCUGUAUCAUAAUUGAGGCUGAUAGAAUGAUUAUUCUAUAACCCUACCGAUAGUUUCAUUCUUAACAUUCAUAGACACGAUGCAUGGCAGCUAUCCAAUUCUAUUUCAUAUUCUCGAGAAUGGCUCGGUUUAACAAUAAUGUUAAUUUUUGUUUUCUAUUUUAAAAUAAUAACGCUGCUUACUAAUCUUUUUUUUUCCAUUUGGCAUUCUACUUUUUCUACUCAGCUUUCUUUCCCUAGUGAUAACAAAUAAUACGGGUGAUAAAAAACUUAAUCACUCACUUGUUUCAGCCACCGAAAGCCCUUCUGCUUUAGAAAUAGAAAUACGGGUGAUACGGUGUGCUGUUCAUUGAACUCUCAAUUUCAUCAAGACCAAUUUCUCACUCAAACAUGGUCUUGCAUUCUCUAGAAACGUCCUACAAACAAAAAUGAAGAACAAAAAACUACAAUAAGGUCUAUGAAAAAUUACAAAGGAAAAUCUCAAAAACUGAUAUGUAAGUCAUAACAACCUUAAGUCCUCUUAUGGGUUAAAAUGCACGUAAGGUUUUUCCAAGAGUCCGAGCAACCAGCAUGUAAAUAAGUUAAGUCAACUAAAUUUGCUAUAAAUUUACUCGUAUUAACAUUAUCAUUGUUAUAGACUUGACAACUUCAAAUUUAUCAAUAUAAAAUAUGCUUUAACAAAACGUACCUUGAGGUUCCUCAAACCUUAUUAAAAAAGCAAAUAAUACAACAAUUUAACAAAUUUAUAGUGCAUAUUAUGUAUAUCAAUUGAUCACAACAAAAUAAGAUCGAACAAAUACCCAUGAGUAAUAUUUAGCCACCAAAUGAAUAAUGAUGAAAACCUGAAAACAAAAUCGAGAAAAAAAAGGGAACAAUUCAUCAACAAAACAAAUUUAGGGGACUAAAAAAUUGCUUACCUUAUUACACACUUCAAAAUAUUAAGAAAAGUGGAGGGAAAAAACCAACCAAUAAUCAACAAAUAAACUUCAACACAAAUAGCCAUAAAUUUUCUUCUUUAAAGGUAUCACAAAUAAGUCCAUCAGUAAUACAAAAUAAAAAAGGGCAACGUGCAAUUGAAUUCUGCAGUCGUAAAGCUAUGCUAAAGGCAGUAUGAAAUCAAACUUGAGCACUAACAAGAAAAUUUGCAAAACAAAAAUUACUAGACAUCAUUAACUAAAGUACCAGCACAACAAUGAAUGUGUAACCUCCGCAAGAGCAAACCCGAAUGGAGAAGAACAUGAAGAAAUAUAUAAAUAGAAGAAACAUAAAAGACAAACAUGAAACACAUGGAAAUAUACAAAGGGGAUAAAUAAAAGUACAAUUAUAAAGUGAUGAAGCACAAAUAUAGGUAUCAACAGAACCAGAAUACAAGUCUUACCCUAUCUCGACUGUCGAGGAGUGUUAACCAACCGUCGGAAGGUUGGUUUUAUUUUUUAGAAAAAUUAAUGUUGUCUGAACUCUUUUCCAAGCCACUAACCAGCCCCUCCUUAUCUAUGAUCGACGAUCAACUCCUCAACCUCUAAUUACAUUUAAAAGAGUGAUGCGAACAUUGUGUGAAAUCCCAAACCUUUGAUGGAUCCCACCAUCACUCUCUUUCUAUCCCCUUCAAAACCUCAUUAUUUUCAAGAGAGGCCUCAAAGCUUUCUUCCAAUUAACAUAAAAGAAGAAUGAAAGAGAAGGAGAGAAAGGGAAAGUGGUUCAAAAGCUAUGGAAAAAAAAGUAAAAGAAAAUGGUCUACUCAUUGGCACAUCUUACACAGAUGAUAAUGUUAGGGCAAGGCAAUGAGAGACAGAAUGCUUUUGGAGCCUUCUCCUCUACUUUCGAAGAUUUUAACAAACUAAAAUAUGCAAAUGUUACAAGAAAGAUCUUUGGAGAUUUGAAAUAAUCCAAAAUAAAGAAAAAGGAAAACCCCAAUAUGUACAAAUUUCAAAAUCUAAAACUUGAAAAGUGAUUGAAUGAUGAGAUAUGUUUGUACAAUCAAUUAUAGAGACAGUGAAAUAUUAAAACAAAAAUGAAACGUACCAAGAUAAAAAGAAUAGCAACUAGUAUUAUGACCUUUGUAUGUCUUCAAAAUACAAACAUCAAAAUGAAUCAAGAGAUCUACCACACAAAUAAUGGUAUCAACACAAAUAAAGCAAUUGUUUUAGUAACAAUAUUUGAGUACAAUUAAACUAAGCAUGCUAUUUUCCUUGACAAAUUUACAUUCUUCUAAUCGAACAAAAUCUGACCUUUAAAUAGUGAUAGAAACUGAAGAUGAAAGCAAGUUUAGCUACAACUUCAGACCGUGAUAUAUAUGACGGAAUCUAUAAAAAAAAGAAGAGUACCUAACUAUAUAUACACAGAGGAGAUCUGAUGCUUACUAGCACAUCAGAGGCUCAAUCGAUUUAUAUUUAAUUGAAAAACAAUCCCUAUAUUUUAAUGCAUACACAUUGAAUAGCCCCUGUUUCAAUCCAAUUUACAAAACUACCUCCAUAAAAUUACAUAAUGGGGGAAGUUCGACCGGAUGCACUGUGCUUUACCAGAACCACAUGAAAUUAUUGGAACAUAGUUCAUUCAAUUAACUUUCUAUUCAAUAAUUGAAACAAAUGGAAAGAGGACAUAUGAAUAUUAAAUAAAGAUGGAAUUAAUUGGGAACUCACGGAGUAAUGCGAUUUGUUCGGGGCUCACUACUGGAGUUGGAAGAGAGACAAGGAUUAGAAAGGAAAGGAAGAGGAGCGUCUGAUAAUCCAGCGGAUUCUUUGAUGAGUGGAGUACUAGUAGUAGUAGUGGAGGUUCCAAGGACAUUGAAGUCAAUCCGGUGAGAGUGAGGGAAUCCAGAAGGUUGAGGUUGAAGAGAGUAGAAAUUGCAACCAAAAUCGGUGACGAUGGUGGAAUCGAAAUUGCGAGGGAAGAAGAAAAGAGCAUCACAGGUCGAAGUAGAGGAGGAAUCAACACUGGAGAAAGGAGGAAGAUGAGGAGAACCUGCCAUUAAUGGAAGAGGGAGGAAGUGAGAGAGAAAGGAGAGGGAAUUAAUUAAUUAAAGAGAAUUAGGGUUUGAGAAGAGAAAGGGAAAAUGGAGUGUACGAACAAAGAAGAAGAAGAAGAAAUGGAAAGGACGCGCUAAGAGAAGAAGAUGGAUCGGUGAAAUGGGUAUGAUAGGGUUUCUUCCUUAAAGAAACGGAAAUUCAGAGAUAGGCCUUAGGAUUUUGAGAAGAGAAAGGAAAACUGGAGUGUACGAAGAAAUGGAAAGGACGCACUAAGAAGAAGAGAGAUUAAGAGAAGAAGAUGGAUCCGCGAAAUGGGUAUGAUAGGGUUUCUUCCUUACAGAAACGGAAAUUGAGAGAUAGGCCAAAGAAGACAAGAGAGCAAGAGAGAAGAGGAGGGAGAGGAGAGGGAGAGGGAGACUUGGCCGUUAGAGAAGAGGAUAAAGAAAUUUUAAAUGAGAGAGACUGUACAUGUAGGGUUUUUAUUAGAAUUUUUUUUUUUUGAAAUCUUGCUUAAUUGGAUUUAGAGAAUUUUGUGUAUUCGGUUCACUGACUCGUAUUAGCUGUCCAUUGGUCCAUUGUUUUGUCAUUUUUUUUCAACAAACUAAAUGUUUUAAUCCAUUUACAAAUUAGAUUUCGAUAAAUCGAUAAUCAUAUUUUUUUACAAUAUAGGACUAAAAAAGAUAACUAAUUUAUAUAUAUAUAUAUAUAUAUAUACAACAGUAUUUAGUUAAAUUACAAAAAAUUUGAAUUUUGUAGUUUGUGUAAAAAAAUAACCUUAAACUUUGAAAUGUUAAAAAAAAUUGUUUUGAACUUUUAAAAAUUAUUCAUAAAUACAUCUACAUACGUAGGAUGAAGGUAUUGGCAUGCUUCUCUAAAAAAACUUUCCAAAAAGAUGUUGUGUGACUUUUGAAAAGAAAAAUUACAAAUGGGGUCGUUUUUAAACAAAUUAGAUAUAUCGAGUUAUGUUUCUUUAAUUUUUUUCCUUUUUUCACAUAUUAUCAAUCACAUCUUACUUUUUUCUUUUUUCUUUGGAACCCUGCAAAAAUAACAAAAACAUUUAUAAUCACAUGACUCAUGUCACUACAUUUUCUAAAUUUUAAAAGUAGUAAAUUUAAAAGUUGAUAACCCUAUGAUUAUCGUUUGAUAGUCAUCUAAUAUCACUAAUUUUGUCAUAUUCGUAAUAUCCAAAUAAGGUUUCUUGGUGAGUCUAGAGUCGAACGUGAGGACUUAUACUAAAAAUAUAUUUAUAUUUUGAAAUGAUCUUAAGGUGAUUAAUAACAUACGCCUAAGAACCAUAGCGGUAUCAUCCACUUGUAGGGUGGGAGGGGAGUCAUCCACUAUAGAUAAGGUCCACUUGUCUCCCUCACCCAACUUCAUAAGGCUGCCAAAAGAGUUAGGCAUAAUCACAUCCACACGUUUACCCUUCUCUCGAACAUAAACCAACUCUCUUUUCUUCCUAAUAACGAGUAAUUUCAUUCCGAUUACCUACCUCCUUUUCCUUAAUAUGCUAAUGGGGGAGCUAUUAGUCUUACUUUCCUCCAACUAUUUAAAGUCUAACACCACAUCCACAAGACACAAUUGUCCGUUCCUCCUCUUGUUUGAAACCACCUUGCUCACAUCCUCCUCUGAUGAACUUUGUUUUCCACAAUCUUAGGACACUUACCACUAGAAUGCCCAAAAGACCGCACAAAUUACACCUUCGAGGCUUCCACUCAUAAUUCACAGUCAUAACGAAAUCCUCUCCCCUAAGGUGAAUUGUAAAUUCAGCAGGCAUAGGAGAGUCCAUAACUAUAGUUUGCCUAUAGCACUAGCCACAACAGUCAAUCUGACAUCUGUCCAUAACUCCAUUGGAAUCCUACCUAGUUUAAUCCAUAUAGGAACAUAAUAAAAAGCAAAGGAUUUAGGGACAAUACCUAGAGUCCAUUUACGGAGGAGCAUACUUUUGCCAGCAAGAUGUCGCGAUCAACGAGAUAGGAUCCAUUCAACAAGUUUUGGGCAUCUGAAUUGGAAACAGAUGAGUCCGUUCUCAAGAAUUGUAAUCGUUGGCAUUUUAAUUUUAUCAACAAUAACAACGAGCUAAACAAAAUCCUCUAUCCAGGACGCACUAAUGAAAACUAAAAUGUAAAAUAAGUACGAAGUAAUUAAUUAAAAUAGAAGACAAAAGAAACCCAAAGUAAGUUGACAAAAUGCCCCACAAUAAGCUUCAAGAUGAGUGAGAGGGAACACCAAGAGAAACAUGAAUAGCCUUGCUAACUUUUCACUACUAGCCAACUACAUAUUUUUUACAAUACGUGUUAGGGAAAUCUUUCCCUUUGCAAAAUCGACCAAUAUAUAAUCAAUCAUUGGCUCCUUAUGGGAAAAUACAGAAGCCCUAUACAUGUCUGUUUCAAGCCUGUGUUGAACAACUUUUAAUUCCCUAAGAUAAGGACAUUUAUCUGAAGGUUCGAGAAUAAUGACAUGUCCUAAACUAACCCACCAUUUCGCAACAGUGAACCAGUUUGAUCGUUAGGGGACAACUUUUGAUAAUAAGCGCACAACCAUGCCCCAAUUCCAAUGUUGCCCAAAAGUAAAGGCCUUUCUUCACAAUGCUCCAUAAAAAAAGUUCGACUUUCACAUAAAGAUCUUAUUUCUUUUUUAUUGCUCCAAGAGAUCUAAUAGAUCUAUUCUCACCACGCAAAUCCCUUUUGUUAUCAUGGAAAAUAUGUUGGUUGUGCUCAAACCAAAUCUCUGCUAGCAACACUUUUAUCAAAUUAACCCAUAUUUUUUUAAAAAAAAAGAUAUGAGUCUCACUAUUAUUAAUAUUGAAAUAUGAAGAGACAAAGCUCAAUGUCAUGAGGAUUAUACAAAGAGCAAUAGGAUGGAGGAUCAACAGACGCACCUGGACAUCUCAACUAGGUUGACACCCCCUUAGCGCCCUCAUCACAUCCAAAAAGCGACAACACAAGAUCAAAACCAAAAGCCACAAAUAGAAGGCUUUUUUUGUGUUUGUUUUGCCUUUGGACAUUACUCCUUUGUUAUGGGUUUUAGCUUGGUUGGAUAUGAUGAGGGUGCUAUGGGGGUGGCAACCUAGUUGAGAUGCCAAGGUGCACCCCCUGAUCCAUGGUUACAUGUUCAUUGUAUAACUCUCUUGUACUAUGAGCUUUUGUCUAAUUAUUAUUAUUAUUUUAAUAUUAAUAAAGAGGUUGUCUCCUUUUCAAAAAAAAAAAAAAAAACAAAACAAAACAAAACAAAAGCCACAAAUAUAAAACCAAACAAAAUGAUAAAAUAAUAUAUCCAAAACAAAAUCAUAAACCAUAGGUAGCAGGUCGAGAACAAAGAAGAAUAAGCCUUGAUUGAGCAAAAAAACCCAACAAAUAUUGAAUGUUUGGAGAAGACGGAACCAACAUUUCGAUACAAAGACAUAGUCAAUUAAAAGGUGCUAAAUAUUUUUCAUGUUAUCAACACAAAUGGGGCAGACAUGAGGUGAGAGGACAUGAGAGGGAAGUUUUCUUUGAAGUACUAAAGCACAGUUUAAUUUUCCAAACAACGUAAUCCAUAUGGGGAUAUUUAUCCAAAGAGUGAGCUAAAUAGCCCAAUGAGUGAUUGUUUUAUAAAACAUCGUUUUGAAAUAAUAAGUAUUUAACAAUUAACUCUUAACAUAAAUGAAAUCAAACUCAAACAACUUAUCUCAAACUUUCCCUUUCAGUUGCUAUACCUAUCAUCGUCGAGACAAAAAACAAUAAACUAGGCAUAGAAGCCCUAUCCCGUGAUACGAUACUUACGAGAUGAAACUCUAGGCAUCAAUUGUGCCCUAUCUCGUUAUAACUACAAUGAGAUGGAAAACUAGGCAUUCGUACAGGCUCUCGUCCCUUGAGAUGGGAAACUAAGCAUCUUUAGAAGUCUUCAUCUCUUAUCUAAUACCAAUGAUGGAAAGCUAGGUAUUUAUUGAAUAUCCAAAUCAAAUGACCUCUAUGCACAAGAAAAUCUCUCCCGAAGGGUUGCUAUAUAUCUUAGAAUAUUUUAGGUAUAGACUAAAACAUGCUAAUAUUAUUUUCAAGCUUAAACAUUUUGAAAACUUAGCACAAUCAUGAUUGCUUAUAAUUUUCAUUAGUAAAUUCAUGAAUAAAAACAUGUUUACCAAAAUGUUUCUAAAUUCAUGCUUUGGAAAUACUUUAUAAGUCAGUAUCCUCAAAUAUUCAAACAUCAAAGCAUGCUUGAAACAUUUGAUAGUAAAUUCAUGUUUAAACUCAUUUUUGUCAUUUAUAGAGAGUAGCUUGGACCCUUGGCUUAUAAACUUGUUCGAUCUCCUUCAAAUCUAAAAUAAUGAAAAAUAAUGGGAAAUAAUUCCAUUUAAUUCCCGUUGAUCAUAAAAAUAUCAAAACUUUGCUUAAAAUUUCCAAAAACCACAAAAACAGCCUAAAGACAUUAGCUUGCAUACAAAAUAUUGUGGCAGAAGUUGGCAGGCGCGCGUAGGGCUUGCCUUGCCAUGUCUCAUUCUAACCUCAUGUGCAGGUGUCACAAUCACAACUUUUCAAACACGGAACAAACUAUUGUGCGGAGCUUGUUGUAACUCGAUGAACACGUCAGUUGUAUGAAAUUGGAUACCAUGUAGCCUCUCUACAGGUUUUAAGAGAAAUUGGUUUUAUUAAACACGAGAGAGAAAGGAAAGCAUUGGAAACAUCGUUAAAAAAAACUUUGAAGACUGUCCAUUGCAAAGAGAGCUUAAAUUGCAAAGAGUACCUCUGUGAUGAGAUUGGUUUGUGGAACCAAUUGGGAUGGGAAAAAGUUUAGAGAUAUUUGAGAGAAACUCUUUUCUUUUUGCAAAGAGCAAUAGCGUUAGCCUUAGUUUUUCAUUUUUUAUUAAUUCAUUUUUUUAAGAAAAUUGUUUUCUUCUAGAUAUUAUAACUCUCUUUCCUUCUAGGAAUAGAAAAUGAAGUAGAAGAGAACCAUGAGAUUCUAUUAAUUUACAAAUAAUUAAAUUAAUAUAUAUUUCAAAUCUACUGAUUAAUUAAACAUUAAUCAAUUAGUUAAUAAUUAAUGAAAUCGAAUUUAAUUAAAUAAUAUUAAACUAAACUAUUAAUUAAUUCUCCAAUUAACUAAUAACACUAAAUUAUUUAUCUUAUAUUUAACUUAAAUUAAAUUUGAAUCAUAUUCAAAUAUAAGUUUCUCUCAAUAAUUUUAAUAUGAAUCCAAUUCACAUUAAAUUAAUAUUUGAACUCAUUCAAAUAUUUUAACUCUCAUAAGUUAAUUUUGAAUCAUCCCCAAAGUUAAAUUUAUAUAGUAAAGUUUGAUAAACUUUAUAUUACAAUGUAUCACUAUACAUUAUACUAAUUCCCAAGUUAAAUUUAAACAUUUUAAAUUACAACCAAUAUAAAUAAAUCUCAUUACCCUUUACGAGCUAGGAAAGGGACCUAAAGGACCUACAUAUCAGAAGCUACAACGAUCUAAGAUUAAUUGGCUAAACUCAUUAACCACAUUAAUCAAUAUUCGUUAGUUGUGUGUACACUCCACUAAAGACUCACAACUGAACUCUUCUCACUAAAAAUAUAUUUAUGUGUCCACGGAUAUAGACCAAUAAUAGUAAGUUAGUCCUUCACGAGUGUUUGUAACACUAGUUGGAUCAAUUUACCGCUUUACCCCUAUGUUACCUCUAAUCCUUAAAAACCAGUGCUCCUCUAAUGAACAACUUGUUUAUGGUCCUACUAAUAAACAAAAACCCCUCUCAUGUCAUAGAGAGGGUACGGGCCCUUUGUUCAAGUUUUGGAGACACCAUUUAAGCUAACAUUCAUCUACUUACCCUAAAGUAGGAAAUAAGUGGAUUCCAUUUUGUGCAAUUAUAAUCCCAACUCCUCACUCAGUCUUGUCCCCAAAAACACUACUACAAAAACAGGCUUUUUGACGUUUAAAAAUCGCCAAGAAUAUUUCCGAAUUCAACAUUCUUGACGUUUUUUAAAUGUCAAUAAUAUAUAGUUUUCCUCGACGUUUUAAAAGCAUCAAGUAAUUUAUUAAAAAUUCUUAACGUUUUUAAAAUGUCGAGAUAAUUCUAAAAAGUUCUUGACAUUUUUAAAAACGUCAAGAAAUUUAUAAAAAAUUCUUGACGUUUUUAAAACGUCCAGAUAAUUCUAAAAAAUCAUUGAUGUUUUUAAAAACUUCAAGAAAUUUUAAAUUGUUUUUGACGUUUUAAAAACGUCAAGAAAUUUCUAAAAAAUUAUUGUGUUAAUAUUCUUUUACAAAACUCAACGUUUCAAUUAGAUCACUUUCCCUUUUCUUAAUUAAACCUAAUUCGCCGCGACUCUGUCCCUUCUCCACCCGAAAUCAAAAGUGUCGUUCACCUAACCUUCCCUUUGCAUUCAUUUGUGCAUUCAUCUGCGUUCAUCGCCGAAAAAGACUUCCCUUCGCGUUCAUCAGCGUUCACCUUCAUUCAUUUGCGUUCAUUGUCCGUCACCGUUCGUCUUCUUUUCGUUCCCUUCACCUUCGUCGAUUUGCGUCCGUCUGUUCACCGUUCGAAAUGCGUAAACACAUUCUCUGUUCGAAAACGAGUAAACACGUUCACCGUCCUUCUGUCGCAUUCCACUUUCGCUAAACCUCUAUUCGUUUCCAAAUCCUUCAUGGUUACUCAUUCAUUUUCUUCCAUUUCUAAAGGUAAUAAUUUUCCUUUUUUCCUUUGUGAUUAAAAUUUGUAAUUUGUAAUUUAAAAUUGGAAUGCAAAAUUAAAGAAGAGGAAAUAUGCCUUAGAGAAUGGAAGAAAGGUUUUGCAUUUUAGGCUUGAAAAUGGGGGAUACAAGUUAUUAUAAUUGUAAUAUAUAAUAUUUUGAACAAGGCUACCAAGCGUGCGAAUAUGAUUCAUUGGUUAGUUUAGGGAUUGGAAAGAGAAGGAUUGUGGAGUUUGUGAUAAUAUUUUGGUACACUGGAGCUGGAAACAUGGAAUAUUAAAAAACACAUACUGUUAUACACAAUAUUAUAAUAAUACGAAUCACUAGCUUUUCUUCUUCGUUUUCUUUUUCUUCUCCUGGAAUUUUUGUUAUGGUAUUGUAUUGAGUUUUGUGUUUUAGAUUGUGAAGUAUGGGGUAGCUAAACUCUUAAUUCUAGGGAUAGAUGUAGACAAAGUUUAUGAAUUAUUCUUUGUAAUGCAUCUGAUUAUUCGCUCUUAAUCUUUUCAUGUUUUUAUGUGAAUAACGUUCAUAAUAUCUUAAUCACAGAUUAAUUGUUGAUUGGCCAUGAACCUUAAUCUUUGCAUGACUAGAUUGGUUAUGAACUUGGAAAGAGAUAAUUAAGGAUCCUUGAGGAUGUUGUUGAAAGAAGUGGACCUAAAAACUUUUGUUUGUUAAUAAAAAGAAAAAUGAACAGAGAUUCAUCUUCGUGAGGGGUCUUGAUGUUUAAUUUAAUUUAAAUUGUGUAAUGCCCCAAAGGUAUGUAUAUAUAUAUUUUGUUUUUAAUUUUAUAUAUAUAUAUAUAUAUUUAUACUUAAUUUAAAUAAAAAGAAAAGAAAAAGAAAUUUACCUCUCUCUCUCGCGCGCACACAACCCCUCUCUCAUUUUUCUUUUCUUCUCCUUCCGGUACCCUAGCAGCCGCCCACCCAUUUUCCCUAUUCUUCUUCCCGUCCUGCCGCAGCCAACCGCAGUCAGCCGCCCCAUCCGUUCGCACAGCAACUGCCGUCGGCCAUCUCCAUCUUCUCUUUUCCUCUCCGUUCCGUCCAAACCCAGCCGGACGUCGCUGCAACCGUCGGCCGCCAUCUCUGUUCGCGAAGCAAGGCCGCCGCGUGAACCUGUAACCGCCGGCUGUCUCCCCUCUCCUUUCUCCUCUGUUUUCAGCCCAGCCGCCGCCGAUUUCUUCUCCUCCGUCGUCUGCACUGCCGCGCGACUCUCCGGCCAUCUGUAUACGGUCUUUCCGCCGCACGUCAUCUCUUCGCAAAGCCACUGCUCGAUUUCUUUCGCGAAGAUUUGGGUAAGUUGCAAAAAGAUUCACAUUGGGUUGAAUUUAAAUGACUGAUGCGUUGAAGGGAAUUAUUGAGAAAUUGUCUUAAUGUUUAGGUUCGUUCUUCAUAGACUUCAACGUGGUUAAGGAGCUUAACAAAUUUGAAGGUAAGGGAUUUUCUACUGGACUCACUUAUGAUUGUGAAUUGCAUGUCUAAAUGAUUAUCUUUGACUGAGUAAAGAUGUUGAGAUGAUACUUAUGUUUAUACACGUAUGGGUGUAGAUUCGGUGCUGAAUGUACACUGUGGAUUGACUGAAAAUAUAUAUACAUAUGCAUAGGAAUUGAAGUAGACUUAAUGUGGAAUGCAUAUUGUGAUUGUCAUGGAAUAUAUAUAUAUGUGUGUGGAUGUGGACAGGACGAAAAUUGUAGAUUAUGCUUGUAUGAGAUGCAGAUGCGAUCUUGUGAUUGUCGUUUAGAUUGGGUGUCGUUACGCUAAAGUAUGACUGUGUGCUGGUGAUCUGAGGGGUGUAUUGACUGUAUAGUUUGAUUGACUGAUGUAUUAGUAUGUUAUUGACAGACAUAUGACCUAAGUGAGAUAAGUUGACUGUUAGGACGUUGAGAGAAAGAACUCUAUGUUUUGAAGUAUCUGAAGGAUGGGUUGAAUGGAAUGAGGGGAUAGAUUGUUAGGUUGUAUUGGGAUGAUUACCUUGUAGGUGUCCCACGGGAUCACCAAUUUAUUUUGCACCUUCGGGAGCAUUUGACUGAUAUGUGUUCUGCAGAACACUUGACUGAUAUGUACGUCCCUCGGGGCGUCAGACUGAUAUGUACGUCCUUCGGGGCGUUAGACUGAAAUGUGUAUCCUACGGGAUCACAAGACUGCGACUGUACAGGGUGUCCCAAUAGAACUUUAACAAUUUAUUUUCCCCUGACGAGACCAGUAGAGGGUCUCUUACUGAGUAUUGUUAUACUCACCCUUCUUAUGUUUAAUUUUCAGGCAAAGGAAAUAAAGGUGGCAAACCGGCGAGGGGCAGGAAGGAAGCGUGAUUGCCAUAGGAAUGUGUUAUUUUGCUUCCGCUUAUGAUUUCUUUUAAGGUUUAAGAUGUACUAAAACUUAGUUUACAAACUUUUAUUUGUAAAUAGUGUUAUUUUAAGUUUUCUUGAAUAUUUGAAAAUCAGGCCUGACAUGUUUUUUUUUUAAAUUGACUUACGUUUCGAUUUGUAUCAAUCAAAGUCUUAUUUGUUAAAAAUUAACGACCGACUUACUUAGAAAAGUUGGGUCGUUACAGUUGGUAUCAGAGCCUAAGUUUUAGGUUCUGUAGACUGACUUACGAUGUAAGUCUAUGUUUUUGUGUUCCUAUGGCAAACGCGACCCUUCGUCUCUCGUCAGGUAUGCUUUAUGCUUAUAUGUAUGGUUUAUUUGCAUGACCUUGCCUAAAUUAAACUAGAUUGCAUGACGAUAAAGACUUGCUUAUGUUUAUGAUUAAGAUUUUGUUAAAGAGUGUUGUUGGUGGAUAAUAGGAAUUAUGCCGCCAAGGGAAGAAGUACGUAGAGGAGGUCGUAGAGGCCGAGGUAGAGGAGCAGGAGGCCGAGGUAGAGGAGUAGGUCGUAAUCAGCCUACUGAGGGUCAAGCUGAACAGCGAAUUCCUGCUGCACCCCGUGACUCACGUCGAGUUUGAUGCACUGUCUGCUCACAUGGAGCAGAGGUUUACAGAACUUAUGACAGCCAUAGCUCAAAACCAGCAGGCACCUGCAGUCCCACCUGCACCUGUAGUUCCCCUGCACCAGCAGCCCCUCCUGCACAAGAAUUACCUAACCAACUUUCUGCUGAGGCGAAACAUUUGAGGGACUUUCGGAAGUAUGACCCUCAGACGUUUGAUGGGUCACUGGAGGAUCCUACUAAAGCUGAAAUGUGGUUGUCCUCUGUGGAAACCAUAUUUAAUUACAUGAGAUGUCCUGAGGAGCACAGAGUUCAGUGUGCUGCUUUUCUACUGAGGGACAGAGGCAUUAUCUGGUGGAGGACUACAAUGCGCAUGCUAGGUGGAGAUGUGAGGCAGAUUACCUGGGAUCAGUUUAAGGACUGCUUCUAUACCAAGUUUUUCUCGGCUAACCUUAGAGACGCCAAAAGCCAGGAAUUCUUGGAGUUGAAGCAAGGAUAUAUGACAGUCGAGGAGUACGACCAGGAGUUUGAUAUGCUGUCACGUUUUGCCCCUGAGCUUGUUAGUAAUGAGCAGGCUAGAGCUGAUAGGUUCGUCAAGGGAUUGAGAGAUGAAAUUAGGGGUUUUGUGCGAGCACUAAAGCCCACUACCCAAGCUGAAGCACUGCGUCUGGCAGUGGAUAUGAGUAUUGGGAAGGAUGAAAGACAGCCAAGGAGCUUUAAUAAGGGAUCGUCGUCGGGUCAAAAGAGAAAAGUAGAGCAGAGAACUGUAGGAGUUCCUCAGAGGAACAUGAGACCAGGUGAUUCUUUUCGCAGUUUCCAGCAGAGUUCUGGCGGUGCAGGAGACACUACUCAAGAGAGGCCAGUAUGUGAUACGUGUGGGAAACGCCACCUGGGUCGUUGUUUGAUGGGAACGAGAGUCUGUUAUAAGUGCAAGCAAGAGGGACACAUGGCUGAUAGGUGUCCCUUGAGAUCUACUGGGGCUGGAUCGAGCAGUCAGGGAGAGAGACCUCCACAGCGGGGUACAAUCUUUGCCACUAAUAGAUCAGAGGCAGAGAAGGCCGGCACAGUAGUGACAGGUACAUUACCAGUAUUGGGCAUUUUGCCUUGACCUUGUUUGACUCGGGAUCUUCUCAUUCAUUUAUUUCAUCGCUUUUUGUGACGCAUGCAUGCUUAGAGUGGAACCCUUAGACUAUGUUUUGUCAGUGUCUACACCGUCUGGAGAAAUUAUGUUGUCUAAGGAAAAGAUUAAAGCAUGUGAAAUUGAAUAGCUGGUCGUGUGCUGGACGUAACCUUGUUGGUAUUAGAUAUGCGUGACUUUGAUGUAAUUUUAGGUAUGGAUUGGCUAGCUACUAAUCAUGCUAGUAUUGAUUGUUCUCGUAAGGAAGUUGUGUUUAGUCCCCCUACUGCAUCUAGCUUUAAAUUCAAGGGAGUAGGAACAGUAGUACUGCCUAAAGUAAUCUCAGCUAUGAAAGCUAGUAAACUACUCAGCCAGGGUACUUGGAGUAUUUUGGCAAGUGUGGUGGAUACUAGGGAAGGUGAGACUUCUUUAACUUCAGAACCUGUGGUAAGAGAAUACCCAGAUGUAUUUCCAAAAGAUCUUCCAGGACUACCGCCACAUAGAGAGGUUGAUUUUGCAUUGAGUUGGAGCCAAACACUACUCCUAUUUCUAGAGCCCCUUAUAGGAUGGCUCCUGCUGAGUUGAAAGAACUGAAGGUACAGUUACAGGAAUUGCUUGACAAAGGCUUUAUUCGACCUAGUGUGUCACCUUGGGGUGCACCAGUAUUGUUUGUGAAGAAGAAGGAUGGGUCGAUGCGUCUUUGCAUUGACUAUAGAGAGUUGAAUAAAGUAACAGUCAAGAACAGGUAUCCUUUACCCAGAAUCGAUGAUUUGUUCGAUCAGUUACAGGGAGCCACGGUGUUCUCUAAGAUUGACUUACGGUCAGGUUAUCACCAGUUGAGGAUUAGAGACCGUGAUAUUCCUAAGACUGCUUUCGUUCGAGGUAUGGACAUUAUGAAUUCAUAGUGAUGUCUUUUGGUUUGACUAAUGCACCUGCUGUAUUUAUGGAUUUGAUGAACAGGGUGUUUAAGGAUUUCUUGGACACUUUUGUGAUAGUCUUCAUUGAUGAUAUUUGGUUUAUUCCAAGACUGAAGCGAACAUGAGGAACAUUACAUAAGGUGUUAGAGACUCUUCGAGCAAUAAACUGUAUGCUAAGUUCUCGAAGUGCGAAUUUUGGUUGAAGCAGGUGGCUUUUCUUGGUCAUGUGGUUUCCAGUGAGGGAGUUUCAGUAGACCCUGCAAAGAUAGAAGCGGUUACCAGUUGGUCUCGACCCUCUACAGUUGUGAGGUUCGUAGUUUUCUGGGUUUAGCAGGGUACUACCGGAGGUUUGUGGAGGAUUUUUCACGUUUGGCUACUCCUUUGACUCAGUUGACAAGGAAGGGAACUCCGUUUGUUUGGAGUCCAGCUUGUGAGGAUAGUUUUCAGAACCUUAAGCAAAGGUUAGUUACUGCACCGGUCCUUACUGUACCAGAUGGAUCUGGAAGUUUUGUGAUUUACAGUGAUGCUUCCAAGAAAGGACUGGGUUGUGUUUUGAUGCAGAAAGGUAAGGUGGUUGCUUAUGCCUCUCGUCAGUUGAAGAGUCACGAGCAGAACUACCCCACACAUGAUUUGGAGUUGGCAGCAGUGGUUUUUGCAUUGAAGAUAUGGAGACAUUACUUGUACGGUGAAAAGAUACAAAUCUUUACUGACCAUAAGAGCCUAAAGUACUUCUUCACUCAGAAGGAGUUGAAUAUGAGACAGCGAAGGUGGCUCGAGUUGGUAAAAGAUUAUGACUGUGAGAUAUUAUACCAUCCUGGUAAGGCGAAUGUGGUGGCUGAUGCUCUUAGUAGAAAAGUAUCACAUUCGGCAGCACUCAUUACUAGACAGGUACCAUUGCAUCGAGACUUGGAGAGAGCUGAGAUUGCAGUGUCUGUGGGGAGAGUCACCUCACAGCUAGCUCAAUUAACGGUGCAACCGACUCUGAGGCACAAGAUUGUUGAUGCUCAGAGUAAUGAUCCUUAUUUGAUGGAGAGACGUCGCCUUGUUGAAACAGGGCAGACUGAUGAGUUCUCCAUAUCCUCUGAUGGUGGGUUGAUGAGAGACGUUUAUGUGUGCCAGCGAACAGUACAGUUAAGAUUGACUUACUAGAUGAAGCCCAUAAUUCCCCAUUUUCCAUGCAUCCUGGUAGCACGAAAAUGUAUCAGGAUCUAAAACGAUUUUAUUGGUGGCGGAAUAUGAAAAGGAAGUGGCGAAUUUGUUAGUAAGUGUCUAGUAUGUCAGCAAGUUAAGGCACCUAGACAGAAACCAGCAGGUUUAUUACAACCUUAAGUGUGCCAGAGUGGAAGUGGGAGAAUGUGUCGAUGGAUUUUAUUUCAGGGCUGCCUAAGACCCUGAAGGGUUUCACAGUGAUUCUGGUUGUCAUAGACAGGCUUACGAAAUCGGCACAUUUUGUACCAGGAAAAUCCACUUAUACUGCUAGUAAGUGGGCAGAGUUGUAUUUAACUGAGAUUGUGAGACUGCAUGGAGUGCCUGUAUCGAUUGUUUCUGAUAGGGAUGCACGGUUUACUUCCAAGUUUUGGAAGGGACUUCAGACUGCUAUGGGUACGAGAUUGGAUUUCAGUACAGCCUUUCAUCCACAGACUGAUGGUCAAACUGAACGUUUGAACCAAGUUUUAGAGGAUAUGCUACGAGCUUGUGUUAUAGAGUUUCCAGGUAGUUGGGACUCUCAUCUACAUUUGAUGGAGUUUGCUUAUAACAACAGUUUCCAGGCUACCAUCGGUAUGGCACCAUUUGAGGCUUUGUAUGGCAAAUGUUGUAGAACCCCUGUUUGUUGGAGUGAGGUUGGUGAACAUAGAUUGAUGGGACCUGAAUUAGUUCGGUCUACUAAUGAGGCUAUUCAAAAGAUUAGAGCACGUAUGCAAACAGCGCAGAGUAGACAGAAGAGUUAUGCGAUGUACGGCGAAAAGACCUUAAGUUCGAUGUGGGAGAAAAGGUAUUCUUGAAGGUAGCACCUAUGAAGGGUGUUAUGCGUUUUGAGAAGAAAGGAAAGUUAAGUCCUCGUUUUGUUGGACCAUUUGAGAUCUUAGAGAGGGUUGGUGUUGUGGCGUAUCGCUUGGCAUUACCACCAUCUCUCUCUGCAGUUCAUAAUGUUUUCCAUGUUUCGAUGUUGAGGAAGUAUGUGGCCGAUACGUCUCAUGUAGUGGACUAUGAACCCUUGGAGAUUGAUGAGCAUUUGAGCUAUGUAGAACAACCUGUGGAGAUUCUGGCUAGAGAGGUAAAGAUGCUUCGUAAUAGAAGCAUUCCAUUAGUAAAGGUUUUGUGGCGGAAUCAUCGAAUUGAAGAGGCGACAUGGGAGCGAGAGGAAGAAAUGAGGACUCGUUAUCCAGAGUUAUUUCAGGAUUAGAACUUUCGAGGACGAAAGUUUCUUAAGGAGGGAAGAAUGUAAUGCCCCAAAGGUAUGUAUAUAUAUAUUUUGUUUUUAAUUUUAUAUAUAUAUAUAUAUUUUUAUACUUAAUUUAAAUAAAAAGAAAAGAAAAAGAAAUUUACCUCUCUCUCUCGCGCGCACACAACCCCUCUCUCAUUUUUCUUUUCUUCUCCUUCCGGUACCCUAGCAGCCGCCCACCCAUUUUCCCUAUUCUUCUUCCCGUCCUGCCGCAGCCAACCAGUCAGCCGCCCCAUCCGUUCGCACAGCAACUGCCGUCGGCCAUCUCCAUCUUCUCUUUUCCUCUCCGUUCCGUCCAAACCCAGCCGGACGUCGCUGCAACCGUCGGCCGCCAUCUCUGUUCGCGAAGCAAGGCCGCCGCGUGAACCUGUAACCGCCGGCUGUCUCCCCUCUCCUUUCUCCUCUGUUUUCAGCCCAGCCGCCGCCGAUUUCUCUCCUCCGUCGUCUGCACUGCCGCGCGACUCUCCGGCCAUCUGUAUACGGUCUUUCCGCCGCACGUCAUCUCUUCGCAAAGCCACUGCUCGAUUUCUUUCGCGAAGAUUUGGGUAAGUUGCAAAAAGAUUCACAUUGGGUUGAAUUUAAAUGACUGAUGCGUUGAAGGGAAUUAUUGAGAAAUUGUCUUAAUGUUUAGGUUCGUUCUUCAUAGACUUCAACGUGGUUAAGGAGCUUAACAAAUUUGAAUGGUAAGGGAUUUUCUACUGGACUCACUUAUGAUUGUGAAUUGCAUGUCUAAAUGAAUUAUCUUUGACUGAGUAAAGAUGUUGAGAUGAUACUUAUGUUUAUACACGUAUGGGUGUAGAUUCGGUGCUGAAUGUACACUGUGGAUUGACUGAAAAUAUAUAUACAUAUGCAUAGGAAUUGAAGUAGACUUAAUGUGGAAUGCAUAUUGUGAUUGUCAUGGAAUAUAUAAUAUGUGUGUGGAAAGGACGAAAAUUGUAGAUUAUGCUUGUAUGAGAUGCAGAUGCGAUCUUGUGAUUGUCGUUUAGAUUGGGUGUCGUUACGCUAAAGUAAUGACUGUGUGCUGGUGAUCUGAGGGGUGUAUUGACUGUAUAGUUUGAUUGACUGAUGUAUUAGUAUGUUAUUGACAGACAUAUGACCUAAGUGAGAUAAGUUGACUGUUAGGACGUUGAGAGAAAGAACUCUAUGAUGUUUUGAAGUAUCCUGAAGGAUGGGUUGAAUGGAAUGAGGAUAGAUUGUUUAGGUUGUAUUGGGAUGAUUACCUUGUAGGUGUCGACGGGAUCACCAAUUUAUUUUGCACCUUCGGGAGCAUUUGACUGAUAUGUGUUCUGCAGAACACUUGACUGAUAUGUACGUCCCUCGGGCGUCAGACUGAUAUGUACGUCCUUCGGGGCGUUAGACUGAAAUGUGUAUCCUACGGGAUCACAAGACUGCGACUGUACAGGGUGUCCCAAUAGAACUUUAACAAUUUAUUUU